rnacentral:rRNA from 1 species
UUUCGCAAUGCCCGAAAGGGUGACGAAGCGACGCCGCGUGAGCGAAGAAGGCCUUCGGGUUGUAAAGCUCUGUCAGGAGUUAAGAAAUAUAAGUGUGCUAAUACCACAUUUAUUUGACGAAGGCUCCAAAGGAAGCCACGGCUAACUCUGUGCCAGCAGCCGCGGUAAUACAGAGGUGGCAAGCGUUGUUCGGAAUUAUUGGGCGUAAAGAGCACGUAGGUGGGUUUGUAAGUCAGAUGUGAAAGCCUUCUGUUCAACGGAAGAAUUGCAUCUGAAACUGCGAGUCUUGAGUGUAGGAGGGGAGAAUGGAACUUCUGGUGGAGCGGUGAAAUGCGUAGAUAUCAGAAGGAACGCCGGCGGCGAAAGCGACUCUCUGACCUAUUACUGACACUCAGUGUGCGAAAGCUAGGGGAGCAAACGGGAUUAGAUACCCCGGUAGUCCUAGCCGUAAACGAUGGGCACUAAGUAGAGGGGUUUUA